rnacentral:rRNA from 1 species
UACGUAGGGGGCUAGCGUUGUCCGGAAUCAUUGGGCGUAAAGAGCGUGUAGGCGGUCCGGUAAGUCCGCUGUGAAAGUCGGGGGCUCAACCCUCGAAUGCCGGUGGAUACUGUCGGGCUAGAGUGCGGAAGAGGCGAGUGGAAUUCCUGGUGUAGCGGUGGAAAUGCGCAGAUAUCAGGAGGAACACCUAUUGCGAAGGCAGCUCGCUGGGACGUAACUGACGCUGAGACGCGAAAGCGUGGGGAGCAAACAGG